UUACUUUCUUAUAACAGCAUGCCCUCUAACACACAUCCUUUACACUAACUAUAGUUUUAUUUCUCAAUGAUUUAAACAGACAACUCAGCAACACCCAAAAACUCUGAAGACUGGAAAUUAUUGUAAUUUCUGUGAUGUAUGUAUUAUAUUAAAACUACAACCACAACCGUAUAAAGCUAGUGUUCUAUAAAAAUCUGUCCUCUCUGUAACUCAGGGCUCAUGGUGACGUGUAUCGGCGGUAACAGAUUUCAGAGUGACACCGGGUCAGGUGCUUCUACAGCUGGGACAGAGUAACGAGAGAGAGGCGACCAAAACACACCACAGAAACCUCGUCUUUCAAUUCAGACACCACCAGGUUGGCUUGGGCCAGGGUUGUGGGUGCACUUUGUCUGGGAGGAUGGCAUCUGUGGUCAGAGAUGGAGGGAUGGGGUGAGGAGAGAAUAAAGAGAGACGUGCAGCGAGGAGGCCCAUGCGCACACAGGUGUCUGUGUCUUUCCCCUGCAGGAUCCCUGCUAUCAUCGCACCUGCAAGACUGAGAGAGAUUGUGAAGUUUCAUAGGGAAAUUGGCUGGUACAUCUUUCUAAACAUCUUGGAGAAUCUGUCACGGUUCCUCUGGAGACGCUGGCUGUCACACUUGCUUCUGUUUCUGCAGAGGGUCACGGGGGAGCCUGGAGCCUAUCCCAGGGAACUCAGGGAGCCAACCCAUCGCAGGGCACGUCGCACACACAUUCACACACCUAUUCACACACUAUGAACAAUUUGGAAAUGCCAAUUGUCCUACAAUGCAUGUCUUUGGACUGGGGAGGAAACUGGAGUACCCAUAGGAAUUCGAAUCCCCAACCCUGAAGGUAUGAGGCAAACAUGCUAACCACUUAGCCACCGUGCUUGGGGCAUGCCAUUAUAGGAAAAUAAUCAACAACAGGUACAGGUGAUACCACACCACAGUUGAUUAUUUUCCCUUAACAGCAUGCCUGGAAGUCCUCUUAUACCACAGCAAUUUUUUUUAUAUUUGUUAAAGAACAACAUUGAACAUUUAUGGUUAUAUU